rnacentral:rRNA from 1 species
GACGAACGCUGGCGGCGUGCCUAAUACAUGCAAGUAGAACGCAGUUGCGAACGGGUGAGUAAAGCGUAGGUAACUGCCUCAUAGCGGGGGAUAACUAUUGGAAACGAUAGCUAAUACCGCAUACUGGGAGAUGGACCUGCGUUGUAUUAACUAGUUGGUGAGGUAAAGGCUCACCAAGGGGACGAUACAUAGCCGACCUGAGAGGGUGGACGGCCACACUGGGACUUAGACACGGCCCCGACUCCCACGGGUGGCAGGCGUUGGGGAUUGUCGGACAUGGACGGCAGUCUGACCGCGCAACGCCGCGGGAGUGAAGAAGGGUUUCGGAUCUUAAAGCUAUGUUGUGAGAGAAGCGUUAACUAACCAGAAAGGGACGGCUAACUACGUGCCAGCAGCCGCGGUAAUAC